CUAUUCCAGUCUGGACCAAAGUGGUGGACUGACCAAUCAACUGACAGACGGAUAGCGAUUGCUAUCUCUAGAGUUAUUGCGCUAGGUGGCUAAAAAGACACGGGCAGACACAGAUUGCACCAAGUUUCACUGGGAUUGUCUUGACAAAAACUUCCACCGAGAGAAUCGUUUCAAGGAAUAUAUAAUCACAUAAGAAUUCUACACACAGGGGCUUUAAACUCUUUGCUCAUCGAAGAGAGUUAGGAUAAGGAGAAUGUGAGUUUAUUUCAUUAUUAUUGCUGCUCUCUGCUUCCAGUUAGCUUUAGUUGCGUACUCGGAAUGUGGGAAGAGAUGGAGACUAGAAGACUCCCAUGUACAAUAAGGACCGGUGUGCUGUGCAUGCUCAUGCAUAACACCUUACAGAGCAGCAAGACAAGGCUCCUCUCAGAUCUAAUGACUGACUUUGAAUCAAAGAGGGAUGGGAUGAAGUGGAGUCCGAGGUAGAACGGGCCGUGAGAGAUUACAGGGAUGAUGG